rnacentral:rRNA from 1 species
UACGGAGGAUCCAAGCGUUUAUCCGGAAUCAUUGGGUUUAAAGGGUCCGUAGGCGGCCCUGUAAGUCAGUGGUGAAAUCUCCCCGCUCAACGGGGAAACUGCCAUUGAUACUGCAGGGCUUGAAUUAUUGGGAAGUAACUAGAAUAUGUAGUGUAGCGGUGAAAUGCUUAGAGAUUACAUGGAAUACCGAUUGCGAAGGCAGGUUACUACCAAUGGAUUGACGCUGAUGGACGAAAGCGUGGGGAGCGAACAGG